AACGAACGCUGGCGGCAUGCCUAACACAUGCAAGUCGAACGAGACCUUCGGGUCUAGUGGCGCACGGGUGCGUAACGCGUGGGAACCUGCCCUUAGGUUCGGAAUAACUCCCCGAAAGGGGUGCUAAUACCGGAUAAUGUCUUCGGACCAAAGAUUUAUCGCCUUUGGAUGGGCCCGCGUUGGAUUAGCUAGUUGGUAGGGUAAAAGCCUACCAAGGCGACGAUCCAUAGCUGGUCUGAGAGGAUGAUCAGCUACACUGGGACUGAGACACGGCCCAGACUCCUACGGGAGGCAGCAGUGGGGAAUAUUGGACAAUGGGCGAAAGCCUGAUCCAGCAAUGCCGCGUGAGUGAUGAAGGCCUUAGGGUUGUAAAGCUCUUUUACCCGGGAUGAUAAUGGCAGUACCGGGAGAAUAAGCUCCGGCUAACUCCGUG
rnacentral:rRNA from 1 species